ACAUGCAAGUCGAGGGGAAACGACAUCGAAAGCUUGCUUUUGAUGGGCGUCGACCGGCGCACGGGUGAGUAACGCGUAUCCAACCUGCCCACCACUUGGGGAUAACCUUGCGAAAGUAAGACUAAUACCCAAUGAUAUCUCUAGAAGACAUCUGAAGGAGAUUAAAGAUUUAUCGGUGAUGGAUGGGGAUGCGUCUGAUUAGCUUGUUGGCGGGGUAACGGCCCACCAAGGCUACGAUCAGUAGGGGUUCUGAGAGGAAAGUCCCCCACAUUGGAACUGAGACACGGUCCAAACUCCUACGGGAGGCAGCAGUGAGGAAUAUUGGUCAAUGGACGAGAGUCUGAACCAGCCAAGUAGCGUGCAGGAUGACGGCCCUAUGGGUUGUAAACUGCUUUUAUAAGGGAAUAAAGUGAGUCUCGUGAGACUUUUUGCAUGUACCUUAUGAAUAAGGACCGGCUAAUUCCGUGCCAGCAGCCGCGGUAAUACGGAAGGUCCGGGCGUUAUCCGGAUUUAUUGGGUUUAAAGGGAGCGUAGGCCGGAGAUUAAGCGUGUUGUGAAAUGUAGAUGCUCAACAUCUGCACUGCAGCGCGAACUGGUUUCCUUGAGUACGCACAAAGUGGGCGGAAUUCGUGGUGUAGCGGUGAAAUGCUUAGAUAUCACGAAGAACUCCGAUUGCGAAGGCAGCUCACUGGAGCGCAACUGACGCUGAAGCUCGAAAGUGCGGGUAUCGAACAGGAUUAGAUACCCUGGUAGUCCGCACGGUAAACGAUGGAUGCCCGCUGUUGGUCUGAAUAGGUCAGCGGCCAAGCGAAAGCAUUAAGCAUCCCACCUGGGGAGUACGCCGGCAACGGUGAAACUCAAAGGAAUUGACGGGGGCCCGCACAAGCGGAGGAACAUGUGGUUUAAUUCGAUGAUACGCGAGGAACCUUACCCGG
rnacentral:rRNA from 1 species